UACGUAGGUGACCAGCGUUGUCCGGAUUUACUGGGCGUAAAGAGCGCGCAGGCGGUCGUUCAAGUCGAGUGUGAAAGCCCCCGGCUCAACUGGGGAGGGUCACUCGAUACUGAUCGACUUGAAGGCAGGAGAGGGAAGCGGAAUUCCCGGUGUAGUGGUGAAAUGCGUAGAUAUUGGGAAGAACACCGGUGGCGCAAGCGGCUUGCUGGGCCAUAACUGACACUGAGGAACGAAAGCUAGGGGAGCGAAUGGG
rnacentral:rRNA from 1 species